UCGAGCGGUAGCACAGAGNAGCUUGCUCNUCGGGUGACGAGCGGCGGACGGGUGAGUAAUGUCUGGGAAACUGCCUGAUGGAGGGGGAUAACUACUGGAAACGGUAGCUAAUACCGCAUAACGUCGCAAGACCAAAGUGGGGGACCUUCGGGCCUCAUGCCAUCAGAUGUGCCCAGAUGGGAUUAGCUAGUAGGUGGGGUAACGGCUCACCUAGGCGACGAUCCCUAGCUGGUCUGAGAGGAUGACCAGCCACACUGGAACUGAGACACGGUCCAGACUCCUACGGGAGGCAGCAGUGGGGAAUAUUGCACAAUGGGCGCAAGCCUGAUGCAGCCAUGCCGCGUGUGUGAAGAAGGCCUUCGGGUUGUAAAGCACUUUCAGCGGGGAGGAAGGCGUUAAGGUUAAUAACCUUGUCGAUUGACGUUACCCNGCAGAAGAAGCACCGGCUAACUCCGUGCCAGCAGCCGCGGUAAUACGGAGGGUGCAAGCGUUAAUCGGAAUUACUGGGCGUAAAGCGCACGCAGGCGGUCUGUCAAGUCGGAUGUGAAAUCCCCGGGCUCAACCUGGGAACUGCAUUCGAAACUGGCAGGCUAGAGUCUUGUAGAGGGGGGUAGAAUUCCAGGUGUAGCGGUGAAAUGCGUAGAGAUCUGGAGGAAUACCGGUGGCGAAAGCGGCCCCCUGGACAAACACUGACGCUCAGGUGCGAAAGCGUGUGGAGCAAACAGGAUUACAUACCCUGGUAGUCCACGCCGUAAACGAUGUCGAUUUGGAGGUUGUGCCCUUGAGGCGUGGCUUCCGGAGCUAACACGUUAGAUCGACCGCCUGGAGAGUACUUCCGCAAGGUUAGAACUCAUAUGAAUUGACUGAGGGGCGCA
rnacentral:rRNA from 1 species